GUUGUUGAUGUGAGGCUGGUCCCUGCGCACAAUGUUGACGGCUGGGUCCUCCGCAAUGAGUACUUGUGAACCUGGUCAGGUCCGGAAGGAAGCAGCCAUAAGCAGGUCCACUCUUGUGCCGGAGGGUUGCCUAGCCCGAGUUGUUGUUCAGGAUUGCCGCUCGGAUCACAAC
rnacentral:SRP_RNA from 1 species